UACGUAGGGUGCGAGCGUUGUCCGGAAUUAUUGGGCGUAAAGAGCUCGUAGGCGGUUUGUCGCGUCGACUGUGAAAACCCGAGGCUUAACCUCGGGCCUGCAGUCGAUACGGGCGGACUAGAGUUCGGUAGGGGAGACUGGAAUUCCUGGUGUAGCGGUGAAAUGCGCAGAUAUCAGGAGGAACACCGGUGGCGAAGGCGGGUCUCUGGGCCGAUACUGACGCUGAGGAGCGAAAGCGUGGGGAGCGAACAGG
rnacentral:rRNA from 1 species